rnacentral:rRNA from 1 species
ACGGGAGGCGCAGUGGGGAAUAUUGCACAAUGGGCGAAAGCCUGAUGCAGCGACGCCGCGUGAGUGAAGAAGUAUCUCGGUAUGUAAAGCUCUAUCAGCAGGGAAGAAGAUGACGGUACCUGACUAAGAAGCCCCGGCUAACUACGUGCCAGCAGCCGCGGUAAUACGUAGGGGGCAAGCGUUAUCCGGAUUUACUGGGUGUAAAGGGAGCGUAGACGGUUUGGCAAGUCUGAAGUGAAAUGCGGGAGCUCAACUCCUGAACUGCUUUGGAAACUGUCGAACUAGAGUGCAGGAGAGGUAAGUGGAAUUCCUAGUGUAGCGGUGAAAUGCGUAGAUAUUAGGAGGAACACCAGUGGCGAAGGCGGCUUACUGGACUGUAACUGACGUUGAGGCUCGAAAGCGUGGGGAGCAAACAGGAUUAGAUACCCUGGUA